AACCUGCCCAAGAGAUCGGGAUAACACCUGGAAACAGAUGCUAAUACCGGAUAACAACAGAUGAUGCCUAUCAACUGUUUAAAAGAUGGUUCUGCUAUCACUCUUGGAUGGACCUACGGUGCAUUAGCUAGUUGGUAGGGUAACGGCCUACCAAGGCGAUGAUGCAUAGCCGAGUUGAGAGACUGAUCGGCCACAUUGGGACUGAGACACGGCCCAAACUCCUACGGGAGGCAGCAGCC
rnacentral:rRNA from 1 species